rnacentral:rRNA from 1 species
GCAGUCGAGCGGCAGCACAGAGGAACUUGUUCCUUGGGUGGCGAGCGGCGGACGGGUGAGUAAUGCCUGGGAAAUUGCCCGGUAGAGGGGGAUAACCAUUGGAAACGAUGGCUAAUACCGCAUAACCUCGUAAGAGCAAAGCAGGGGACCUUCGGGCCUUGUGCUACCGGAUAUGCCCAGGUGGGAUUAGCUAGUUGGUGAGGUAAGGGCUCACCAAGGCGACGAUCCCUAGCUGGUCUGAGAGGAUGAUCAGCCACACUGGAACUGAGACACGGUCCAGACUCCUACGGGAGGCAGCAGUGGGGAAUAUUGCACAAUGGGCGCAAGCCUGAUGCAGCCAUGCCGCGUGUAUGAAGAAGGCCUUCGGGUUGUAAAGUACUUUCAGUAGGGAGGAAGGUGRUUAAGUUAAUACCUUAAUCAUUUGACGUUACCUACAGAAGAAGCACCGGCUAACUCCGUGCCAGCAGCC